rnacentral:rRNA from 1 species
UGAUACGCGAGGAACCUUACCUGGGCUUGAACUGUAGGUGAUGUAUGCAGAGAUGCAUACUUCCGUAAGGACACUUACGGAGGUGCUGCAUGGCUGUCGUCAGCUCGUGCCGUGAGGUGUCGGGUUAAGUCCCAUAACGAGCGCAACCCCUAUCACUAGUUGCCAUCGCAAUCAGGCGGGGACUCUAGUGAGACUGCCACCGUAAGGUGAGAGGAAGGUGGGGAUGACGUCAAGUCAGCACGGCCCUUAUGUCCAGGGCUACACACGUGUUACAAUGGUCGGUACAGCGAGUAGCGAGGCAGUGAUGCUGAGCGGAUCUGUAAAACCGGUCGUAGUUCGGAUCGGAAUCUGCAACUCGAUUCCGUGAAGGUGGAUUCGCUAGUAAUCGCGCAUCAGCCACGGCGCGGUGAAUACGUUCCCGGGCCUUGUACACACCGCCC